CAGGCCUAACACAUGCAAGUCGAGCGGUAACAUUUCUAGCUUGCUAGAAGAUGACGAGCGGCGGACGGGUGAGUAACGCGUAGAAAUCUACCUAGUAGUGGGGAUAGCCCAGAGAAAUUUGGAUUAAUACCGCAUACGCCCUACGGGGGAAAGCGGGGGAUCUUCGGACCUCGUGCUAUUAGAUGAGUCUGCGUCGGAUUAGCUUGUUGGUGAGGUAAUGGCUCACCAAGGCGACGAUCCGUAGCUGGUCUGAGAGGAUGACCAGCCACACUGGAACUGAGACACGGUCCAGACUCCUACGGGAGGCAGCAGUGGGGAAUAUUGCACAAUGGGCGCAAGCCUGAUGCAGCCAUGCCGCGUGUGUGAAGAAGGCCUUAGGGUUGUAAAGCACUUUCAGCAGUGAGGAAAGGGGUGUCGUUAAUAGCGCCAUCCUGUGACGUUAACUGCAGAAGAAGGACCGGCUAACUCCGUG
rnacentral:rRNA from 1 species